rnacentral:tRNA from 1 species
AUUUAUGCUAAAAUAAUUCAACGAAAAAAGCCGGAAUAGCUCAGUUGGUAG